GGCCGAGUGUCUUAAUGGUAAAGCAGGAGGUCGCACCUCCAGACGUCGGUUCAAUCCCGUCCUCGGUCA
rnacentral:tRNA from 1 species